AAUAAGGUGCUUACUCGCGCUUGUGUUCGUUGCGUGCUGCGCGUAUAUUGCUCGAUGUGGAGAUUUGUCUUCUGAAAAGGGAUGGAAUCCAUAUAUGAAAUUUUUAUCCUUACGAGUUGCUUGAAGCUUCUGCUGAUUCCAGCAUAUCGAAGCACAGACUUCGAGGUCCACCGUAAUUGGCUGGCCAUAACCCAUUCAGUGCCGGUGCGGGAGUGGUAUACAGAGAAUACCUCCGAAUGGACGCUGGACUACCCGCCUCUCUUCGCCUGGUUCGAAUUUCUUCUGUCUCAGCUGGCCGUCUUCUUCGA